rnacentral:rRNA from 1 species
CCUACGGGAGGCAGCAGUGAGGAAUAUUGGUCAAUGGACGAGAGUCUGAACCAGCCAAGCAGCGUGAAGGAUGACUGCCCUAUGGGUUGUAAACUUCUUUUAUAUGGGAAUAAAAUGUUCCACGUGUGGGUUUUUGUAUGUACCUUAUGAAUAAGGAUCGGCUAACUCCGUGCCAGCAGCCGCGGUAAUACGGAGGAUCCGAGCGUUAUCCGGAUUUAUUGGGGUUAAAGGGAGCGUAGGUGGAUUGUUAAGUCAGUUGUGAAAGUUUGUGGCUCAACCGUACAAUUGCAGUUGAAACUGGCAGUCUUGAGUACAGUAGAGGUGGGCGGAAUGCGUGGUGUAGCGGUGAAAUGCUUAGAUAUCACGAAGAACUCCGAUUGCGAAGGCAGCUCACUGGACUGCAACUGACACUGAGGCUCGAAAGUGUGGGUAUCAAACAGGAUUAGAUACCCUUGUAGUC